rnacentral:rRNA from 1 species
AUACCUUAGUACGGCGAGUGAGCGGUAAAAGCUCAAAUUUGAAAUCUGGUACUUUCAGUGCCCGAGUUGUAAUUUGUAGAAUUUGUCUUUGAUUAGGUCCUUGUCUAUGUUCCUUGGAACAGGACGUCAUAGAGGGUGAGAAUCCCGUUUGGCGAGGAUACCUUUUCUCUGUAAGACUUUUUCGAAGAGUCGAGUUGUUUGGGAAUGCAGCUCAAAGUGGGUGGUAAAUUCCAUCUAAAGCUAAAUAUUGGCGAGAGACCGAUAGCGAACAAGUACAGUGAUGGAAAGAUGAAAAGAACUUUGAAAAGAGAGUGAAAAAGUACGUGAAAUUGUUGAAAGGGAAGGGCAUUUGAUCAGACAUGGUGUUUUUUGCAUGCACUCGCCUCUCGUGGGCUUGGGCCUCUCAAAAAUUUCACUGGGCCAACAUCAAUUCUGGCAGCAGGAUAAAUCAUUAAGAAUGUAGCUACUUCGGUAGUGUUAUAGCUUUUUGGAAUACUGUUAGCCGGGAUUGAGGACUGCGCUUCGGCAAGGAUGUUGGCAUAAUGGUUAAAUGCCGCCCGUCUUGAAA